GGUUAAAAGUAGGACGACAUUCUUUUUUGUGUUUUUUC
rnacentral:sRNA from 1 species